GAAGGCCAAAGACAUGUGGAAGCUGGACAGGUUGAAAAGGAACCAGAACCUCCUUAUAGGAAGAGGCCUUCCUGAUCCAAAGUGAAUUGGAAGGUCCUCUUGUUAUCGCUCCUGUGUUGCUCAUCUCACCUCUGCAGAGAAAGGGCCCCAACAGCUAACACUCCCCUGUGAAAUCCGAAGGACCAAAUUCAUGAGUUCUGAAGAAGCAGGGAAGGCUUUACUCAGAAAAAAUGACUGUCUCUUUGCUCCCAAGCAGAUUACCAGUGCUGCUGGAUGUGUCUUCCCAUCAAAUCCUUCUUCAUGGGAACUCCAGUUGACAACCCUUGCAGAUCUGCCAUCAUUUGGGAUGCCCACCUCCCUCCUGGUUCUCCUGAACUGUAUCCCAACUCUUCUGGCCAUCCACCAGAGGAGACAGACUUGGAGGAACUUGAGAGCCAAGGAACUGUCCCCUCUUGCUGAGUUGGUGGGUGUAAGAAUACCUACGGACUGUCAGAAAAAUGAGUAGGUCGCAGACUUGGGGAGAGGGUUAUGGCCAACUGCAGGAAGUCUAAGCCAUUCUGUGUGCCACUGACAAGACAAGCUGCUGAUGACAGUUCUGUGGCGUCUGUCUGGGGAACAACACGCUUGGAGACACGAAUGGGUCCAGGUCUCAUCCCUCACUCAGCUGCACAGUGUCUAGCACACAAGGCAAGUGUGAAGUGAGGGAUCGGGGAGCCGGUAAGUGGGUUAGGAUGGCGGAGAAGGAAGACGUGGGAAGGGGAAAAGCGGUGCAGAGAUAACGAGGUCCAUUCAAGGUGUGAAGUGGGGGAGGGGGAGGUAAGGAAACCAAGGAUGGAUGUGUGACCAAACUUCCUGAGGAGAUGCAACACCCACCCCGGAUACGGAGCCAAGGACAGAACCAAGUGGGGACACCACCACAGUCCAACUUGGUAAGCCACUGAGUUUUGUUGGGGUUACUGAGAGGAACUGCAUCACCAAGGCCACCCCAGCAUGGGUGACAGCUCACAAAGCUGGAAACCUGGAGCGCACCGCACCGUCUGCAGGCAGCUCAGCAGGUUGGGGAGUGUCCCUUCAAGUGACUCAGUUGGUCUAACCCUCUCCAGCAGCACAGCUGAUCGCUGCCUCUUUCAGGCAGCUGGCCUGGUCUGCGAGUCUUUAGAGCUUGGCUGCACUUAGUUCCUCUCAGCUUUGUUUAUUCUGACAGGGAGAGACCUAGUUUAUUUUGUGUUCUUUGGUUUUCUGCAUGGUCUCAGAGAAAAUGGAUACACGACGCGAUAUAAUAGAAGUAAGAUGUAUUAUGGGCUGGCAAGGCCUUAGGUGGCCUGAGGGAAAAGUAUCUGGAAAUGGCACUGGCUGCAUGUGACUGUAGGAGGGGUGGCAAGUUUCCUAAGGCUUGGAAGUAAAGUAAGAGGUGUGUGGCCUUUAGGCCUCAGAUUCUCCAGUGUUUCCUCUGUGAAAUGGGGCUAGUCACAUUCAUACCCCAGAGGCCAUUAUGCUAAUUAAAUAAGAUAAUGCACCCUAGAAAAGCAUGGUGGAGUCAGGCAGUGGUGGCUCACACCUUUAAUCCCAGUACUCAGGAGGCAGAGGCAGGAGGAUCUCUGUGAGUUCAAGGCCAUCCUGGUCUACAGAGCGAGUUCCAGGACAGCCAGCGCUACACAGAGAAACCCUGUCUCCAAAAAAGAAAAGAAGAGCAUAGUGGAACACAUGUGAUCUUAACACUUCAGAAACUGAAGGCAGCAGGAUUGAGAGCUCAAAGACAGUCUGGGACAGGCAAGAGCCGGUCUCAAAGCAAGCCAGGUGUGUAGUGGCACACAUCUUUCACUUGGAGGCAAAGGCAGGCUCUGUGAGUUUGAGGUCAACCUGGUCACAAAGUGAGUACCAGGACAGCCAGGGUUAAGUAGAGAGACCCUGUCUCAAAAAACAAAAAGACAAUAGAGACAUAAACAUUAUAUUGAAAUCUUGGUGUAUAGAAAAUUUAUUUGCUUGUAUAUUUAUUGAGAGACAGGCUCCUUCCUUCCUUUCUUCUUUUCUUUCUGUUUGUUUUUCAAGACAAGGUUUUUUAUGUGUAGCCCUGGCUCUCUUGGAACUCAAUCUGUAGACCAAGCUGGCCUCAAACUCAGAGAUGGCCUGCCUCUGCCUACUGUGUGAUGGGACUAAAGGCGUGCACAGGCUUGGGUCUUUUCUUUAUUGUCCAGGAUGACCUUGAAUUUUAAACCAAGGCCAUAGGUUCUCAUAAUCUUACCAUAGGUCCCAGAGUAGUUUGAGACUACAGGUGUCUGUCAUAAUACUUCUGUCAUCACAAUAAUAGUUUAUUUUGUGGGGGAGGGAGCAGGGAUAUUUUGUUUCAACCCUUUAAUGCUUUUUUUUAUGCUGGAGAUUAAACCCAAGUCAUUUCACAUGCUUGGCAAAAACUAUCCUCGGCCCCCUGUUUAUUUUGAGAUAGGGUCUCACUCAGUUGCCCAGGCUAGCCUUGAACAAAAGAUCCUCCUGCCUCAGCCUCCUGAGUGCUGUGAUUAAAGGUGUGCACCACCAUAGCCCGGCUACAAUAUCUCUUUUUUUAUCUAGUCUUGCCUCUGUUCUCAUGGUGGUGAAAUGUGUGGGACCAGUUCUGGGCUGGUGACAACCCGCAUCCCUCGACUUCUCCCACAGGCCUGACCACACUUCUCCCUGCCUCAGCCCUUCCCACAGCACUCUCUUCCCUAGACUCUCCCUACCUGAUUUCCCUACAGUUCUAUCUUACAAGCAUGUCUGUGAGCCAACCUCACGGGGAGGUAACUUUCAGGGGCUCCCCUAAGUGAAUUGCCAGCACCUUUCCUGCUUUUGUUUUCUGUCUUACAUUACAGUUACUGUUCACUUGUGCUGUAGUUCCCACAGUCAAGUACUUCACAAGCUCUGACUGUUCAUUCAGUGAGUCUUUAUUGAGUACUACUUUUGUGCCAGGCACUGUCCUAGAUGCAGUAAAUACAGCAACGGACCAGCCAAACAAAAACCCUGGCUCCCCCCGCCAAGGAGCUUACAUUCUACUUAGGGAGAUGGAGGGAGACAGAUAAUACAUACAAAAAUUAGAAUAAAUAGUAAGUUACAUGGCCCCUGAGGUGAUAC
rnacentral:lncRNA from 1 species